ACCAAAUCCAGAUGUUUCAUCACUGAACUAUGCUUUCAGAGUUCCCAUGACAUCCAAGGACAUGAGUUACGCCUGAGCCCAGCCUGACACCCAAGGCUGUCAAGGAGGAUCAAUGUUCCAGAGAUAAGAUGCAAAGUGCCUGCUGCCUGGCGCCUGACUUCGGCCCCCAUGUCAGCAGAUGCCCACUUCUUUUUUCUUUGUAUAAUUCUCCCUCAACCCCUCCCCUAUUCCCUGCAAUGUAUGCUUUAAAAAGAAGGCACCUCAGCAUAAUAAAUGAGACCUCG
rnacentral:lncRNA from 1 species